rnacentral:misc_RNA from 1 species
UUGUUUUAGGGAUUAGGAGAUUGUGAGAGUUGCAUGCUUCCACUAUAUGAGCAGCUGUAUUCAUUGUGCCUCCGAGUUGAAAAAGAGGCUCUGCGAGGUAUUUAUCUAACGCCUUGAAAUUCUUGGACACCGCACCAAAAGCACUUGCAAACCGAAAGGCUGGAGAGAUUGCUAACACAUUGAACCAUAUACAGCAAGCUAAAAGUUCAUGACAUAUUUGUUAUGAUUAAGGAUUGCUAAAGCAGAUUUUUUACAAAGAACCGUGAUAUUCAACCAAAGACCAUUAUGGAACGUGACUGCACCCUUAGUAUUUCCCCUGUGCUAAUUCUUUCACAGCCUCGGCCAGUUGCUUCUCUUUCUGAAUGCUCUGAACCCACUUU